GGAAUAUAAGAACCCGUUUCUUAACUUUUAACUAAAAAAACUAAGAACCGGUUCUUAAACCUUUUAUUUAAGAGCCGGUUCUUAGCUUUUUUAGUUAAAAAUUAAGAGACAGAUUUUUAUAUUCC
rfam:Brassica oleracea var. oleracea cultivar TO1000 chromosome C7, whole genome shotgun sequence